rnacentral:rRNA from 1 species
AAUAGAUACCCCGGUAGUCCACGCCGUAAACGAUGAGUGCUAAGUGUUAGAGGGUUUCCGCCCUUUAGUGCUGAAGUUAACGCAUUAAGCACUCCGCCUGGGGAGUACGGCCGCAAGGCUGAAACUCAAAGGAAUUGACGGGGGCCCGCACAAGCGGUGGAGCAUGUGGUUUAAUUCGAAGCAACGCGAAGAACCUUACCAGGUCUUGACAUCCUCUGACAACCCUAGAGAUAGGGCUUCUCCUUCGGGAGCAGAGUGACAGGUGGUGCAUGGUUGUCGUCAGCUCGUGUCGUGAGAUGUUGGGUUAAGUCCCGCAACGAGCGCAACCCUUGAUCUUAGUUGCCAUCAUUCAGUUGGGCACUCUAAGGUGACUGCCGGUGACAAACCGGAGGAAGGUGGGGAUGACGUCAAAUCAUCAUGCCCCUUAUGACCUGGGCUACACACGUGCUACAAUGGACGGUACGAAGAGCUGCAAGACCGCGAGGGUGGAGCUAAUCUCAAUAAAACCGUUCUCAGUUCGGAUUGUAGG